CCUACGGGUGGCAGCAGUGGGGAAUAUUGGACAAUGGGGGCAACCCUGAUCCAGCCAUGCCGCGUGUGUGAAGAAGGCCCUCGGGUUGUAAAGCACUUUCAGUGAGGAAGAACGCCUGGUGGUUAAUACCCAUCAGGAAAGACAUCACUCACAGAAGAAGCACCGGCUAACUCCGUGCCAGCAGCCGCGGUAAUACGGAGGGUGCGAGCGUUAAUCGGAAUUACUGGGCGUAAAGCGCGCGUAGGUGGCUUGAUAAGCCGGUUGUGAAAGCCCCGGGCUCAACCUGGGAACGGCAUCCGGAACUGUCAAGCUAGAGUGCAGGAGAGGAAGGUAGAAUUCCCGGUGUAGCGGUGAAAUGCGUAGAGAUCGGGAGGAAUACCAGUGGCGAAGGCGGCCUUCUGGACUGACACUGCCACUGAGGUGCGAAAGCGUGGGUAGCAAACAGGAUUAGAUACCCCGGUAGUC
rnacentral:rRNA from 1 species